rnacentral:ribozyme from 16 species
AAACAAAGAUCUGAACAACGAAUCAUCGACCUAAUGCUUUUGUGAAAAGCAUAUUUCGUUUCAUUGUCUUUUUUUCUUUCUACUUUUUUUUUUGGUUUUUUCUA